GACGAACGCUGGCGGCGUGCUUAACACAUGCAAGUCGAACGGUGACGAGGAGCUUGCUCCUCUGAUCAGUGGCGAACGGGUGAGUAACACGUGAGCAACCUGCCCCAGACUCUGGGAUAACAGUUGGAAACAGCUGCUAAUACCGGAUACGAGACGGAGAGGCAUCUCUACCGUCUGGAAAGUUUUUCGGCUGGGAUGGACUCGCGGCCUAUCAGCUAGUUGGUGAGGUAAUGGCUCACCAAGGCGACGACGGGUAGCCGGCCUGAGAGGGCGACCGGCCACACUGGGACUGAGACACGGCCCAGACUCCUACGGGAGGCAGCAGUGGGGAAUAUUGCACAAUGGGCGAAAGCCUGAUGCAGCGACGCCGCGUGAGGGAUGAAGGCCUUCGGG
rnacentral:rRNA from 1 species